rnacentral:rRNA from 1 species
UCGGGAAUUUUUUGCAAUGCGCGCAAGCGUGACAGAGCGAGCCAGAGUGCUUCUCUAUAAUUGAGAAGCUUUUGCGAGAUGUAAAUAGUCUCGUGAAUAAGGACCGGGCAAGACUGGUGCCAGCCGCCGCGGUAAUCCCAGCGGUCCAAGUCGCAGCCACAAUUAUUGGGUCUAAAACAUCCGUAGCUUGCUUUGUAAGUCUCUUGUGAAAUCUGGCCUCUUAAGGGUCGGUCGGGCAAGAGAUACUGCGAAGCUAGAGACCGGGAGGCGUAUGGAGUACACAUAGGGUAGCGGUAAAAUGCGUUGAUCCUUUGUGGACUAACAAUCGCGAAGGCACCGUACGAGAACGGAUCUGACAGUGAGGGAUGAAGGCUAGGGGCGCAAAGUGG